rnacentral:RNase_P_RNA from 1 species
GAGGAAAGUCCGGGCUCUAUUUAUAAAUAAUUUGUUGUAUAAUAUACAAUAUAGGAAACUAUGAGGAUAGUGCCACAGAAAUAUACCGCCUUUUUAAGGUAAGGGUGCAAUGGUUCGUUAAAAGCGUACCAGAAAUGUUGUCAAAAUGUUUGCUAGGUAAACCCCAUUUUAGAGUAAAGUAAUUGGUUAUGUAUAUAAAUGCGUAUUUAUAAGCUUAACUUAUAUGUUAUAUGCCUUAAAUGAUUUAUUAUACUGCAUAAAGUAAAAUUUUUACUGAAGAUUAAUGAUUACCCUUUUUAUAACAUAGUUUAUUUGUAAUACUUUAUGUUUAUCUAAUAUUAGAUGAAGAACAAAACCCGGCUUAU